rnacentral:rRNA from 1 species
GGAGUGGAGUGUGCGGCUUAAUUUGACUCAACGCGGGACAGCUUACCAGUGCAGAAGGUCGUAAGAGCGUGAACGCGAUAGACUGGAGAGUGGUGCAUGGCCGUUAUAGAUGGGUGUAUUGAUAUUGCUAUUAAGUUACGUAAUCCAUAAAACGUGCGUUUUCUGUCUAGUAGAUUUAUUUUUGGGUUGGUUAGGCGGGAGAGACGGUUACCCCUCGGUAAAGGAAGGAGCACGCAAGAACAGGUCAGUGAUGCCCUCAGACGUACUGGGCUGCACGCGCACUACAUUUGUUGGUGUAAUAUUAUUGUAUUAUAUAGAGAGAAAGCCAAUAUGGAGGAACUGUGUACUGAAAGGUACUCACGAACGAGGAAUUGCUAGUAAUCGCGAGUUCAGGAGAGCGCGAAGAAUGUGUCCCUGUUCUUUGUACACACCGCCCGUCGUUAUCGAAGAUGGGGCUGCGUAUGAACGAGUUUUUAGUGAGUGAAUGCGCGGUUCUAGAUCUGAUACAAGUCGUAACAAGGCAGCUGUAGGAGAACCUGCAGCUGGAUCAAGAGAGGUUUAAGUUCUUAUUAGUAAUGAGUUUUAUUAGUUAGUAUUAUAUUGUAUUAUGGUAUAUAUUAUAUUUAGACUCACACAUGGGAUCACUAGGCUCCGCGAGCGAGGAAGGACGAAACGUAUUCGAGUAGCAAAGAGAGUUGCUAUGUGUCCGAAUUUGGGGAGACCCAGACGACCCCUCGGAGUUAAGCAUAUGAGUAGAGGGAGGAGAAGAAACUAACAAGGAUUCCCGUAGUAGUGGCGAACGAACAGGGAAGAAGCCCGAGUAUAUUCUGCGUCUAGGCGUGGAGAUGACGGGGGUGUUUGGCGUUGCGAAGAUACGAGGUGUGUGAAAGGCCUGUAGCGACGUUGGGCAGCCUGCGGUAUGGUAUUAAUUGUACCGUUUAGAGCGGAGUACCCGUGUUUGGUAGUACACGGGGAAUCGAUGGAAUCUUCCACCGAAGGCAAAAUAUAUGCGGAGACCGAUAGUGUAAAAGUAGGGUGACCGAA